GGUCAUGAGUGCCAGCAGAUAGCCCCGGCUUGCUGGCCGGCAACCCUCCAACCGCGGUGGGGUGCCCCGGGUGAAGACCUGGCUGGACAUCAAAAGGAUGUCACGGCAAGCGCGGG
rnacentral:ncRNA from 1 species